rnacentral:rRNA from 1 species
AGGAGCUUGCUCCUUUGACGUUAGCGGCGGACGGGUGAGUAACACGUGGGCAACCUACCCUAUAGUUUGGGAUAACUCCAGGAAACCGUAGCUAAUACCGAAUAAUCUCUUUUGCUUCAUGGUAAAAGACUGAAAGACGGUUUCGGCUGUCGCUAUAGGAUGGGCCCGCGGCGCAUUAGCUAGUUGGUGAGGUAACGGCUCACCAAGGCGACGAUGCGUAGCCGACCUGAGAGGGUGAUCGGCCACACUGGGACUGAGACACGGCCCAGACUCCUACGGGAGGCAGCAGUAGGGAAUCUUCCACAAUGGGCGAAAGCCUGAUGGAGCAACGCCGCGUGAGUGAAGAAGGUUUUCGGAUCGUAAAACUCUGUUGUAAGGGAAGAACAAGUACAGUAGUAACUGGCUGUACCUUGACGGUACCUUAUUAGAAAGCCACGGCUAACUACGUGCCAGCAGCCGCGGUAAUACGUAGGUGGCAAGCGUUGUCCGGAAUUAUUGGGCGUAAAGCGCGCGCAGGCGGUCCUUUAAGUCUGAUGUGAAAGCCCACGGCUCAACCGUGGAGGGUCAUUGGAAACUGGGGGACUUGAGUGCACAAGAGGAAAGUGGAAUUCCAAGUGUAGCGUUGAAAUGCGUAGAGAUUUGGAGGAACACCAGUGGCGAAGGCGACUUUCUGGUCUGU